AUUGAACGCUGGCGGCAGGCCUAACACAUGCAAGUCGAGCGGAUGAGGGGAGCUUGCUCCCUGAUUUAGCGGCGGACGGGUGAGUAAUGCCUAGGAAUCUGCCUGGUAGUGGGGGAUAAAGUUCCGAAAGGAACGCUAAUACCGCAUACGUCCUACGGGAGAAAGCAGGGGACCUUCGGGCCUUGCGCUAUCAGAUGAGCCUAGGUCGGAUUAGCUAGUUGGUGAGGUAAUGGCUCACCAAGGCGACGAUCCGUAACUGGUCUGAGAGGAUGAUCAGUCACACUGGAACUGAGACACGGUCCAGACUCCUACGGGAGGCAGCAGUGGGGAAUAUUGGACAAUGGGCGAAAGCCUGAUCCAGCCAUGCCGCGUGUGUGAAGAAGGUCUUCGGAUUGUAAAGCACUUUAAGUUGGGAGGAAGGGCUGCUGGUUAAUACCCUGCAGUUUUGACGUUACCAACAGAAUAAGCACCGGCUAACUUCGUG
rnacentral:rRNA from 1 species